rnacentral:rRNA from 1 species
AACGAACGCUGGCGGCAUGCCUAAUACAUGCAAGUCGAACGAGACCUUCGGGUCUAGUGGCGCACGGGUGCGUAACGCGUGGGAAUCUGCCCUUGGGUUCGGAAUAACAGCUGGAAACGGCUGCUAAUACCGGAUGAUGACGUAAGUCCAAAGAUUUAUCGCCCAGGGAUGAGCCCGCGUAGGAUUAGCUAGUUGGUGGGGUAAAGGCCUACCAAGGCGACGAUCCUUAGCUGGUCUGAGAGGAUGAUCAGCCACACUGGGACUGAGACACGGCCCAGACUCCUACGGGAGGCAGCAGUAGGGAAUAUUGGACAGUGGGCGCAAGCCUGAUCCAGCAAUGCCGCGUGAGUGAUGAAGGCCUUAGGGUUGUAAAGCUCUUUUACCCGAGAUGAUAAUGACAGUAUCGGGAGAAUAAGCUCCGGCUAACUCCGUGCCAGCCGCCGCCGUAAUAC